rnacentral:pre_miRNA from 1 species
AUUCUACUCCCUCUGUUGCACAAUACAUGCCUUCUAUUUGUCAAAAUAUAUAUGUAUCUAGACAUGUUUUAGUAUAUAGGUACAUCCAUUUUUGGACAAAUGGAAGUCAAGUAUUUGGAACGGAGGGAGUACACA